rnacentral:rRNA from 1 species
UACAGAGGGUGCGAGCGUUAAUCGGAAUUACUGGGCGUAAAGCGUGCGUAGACGGUAGCGUAAGUCAGAUGUGAAAGCCCCGGGCUCAACCUGGGAACUGCAUUUGAGACUGCUCUGCUCGGGUGCGGAAGAGGGAAGCGGAAUUUCCGGUGUAGCGGUGAAAUGCGUAGAUAUCGGAAGGAACACCAGUGGCGAAAGCGGCUUCCUGGUCCGACACCGACGUUCAGGCACGAAAGCUAGGGGAGCAAACAGG